ACAUACAAGCAUGACAUGAUAUAAUAAUCACCAUGCUACAAAUAGAUGCAAGAGGAAGGCAGAGGAAGGACAUCCAACCCAGAGAAGGGCCCACCAUGGGUGCUGACAGCUUCAUGAUGGGAGAGGAGAGCCCCUAGUCACUCAGCUGCCGUGGCAGGAGAGGAAAACUUAAUGGGCUGAAGAAAGCGAGGAUGCAGUCUGGCUUUGGCUUCUCAGCACGGCCACACGGACAUCUGAGUGUCCACCUCGAACUGUGGUCAGUGAGAAGGAGAAGAUGGGUCUCAGAGGUGCUAAGUGACUUCCCCGAGGCCACCCCACUGUCCCCAGUCGACUGGCCCCAGAACCGGAGCUUCCGGCUUUCCGAGGCACUGCCCUUACCACCUGCAUCCACUGGUCAUCUUCGUAGAUGACAAGAAGACACAGCAGUGUCACCUUGUUUGAACUCAGCUGGGAAUAUACCAGGUGCGCAAUUUAAAUUUUUGUCACUACACGAAUGUCAGCAUGCCUGACCCCCAAAUUACCAGGAGCGUUGAUUUGGGGCUUACAGAUUAACUUUAGUGAAUAGGCAAAUUUGCAAACACAGAAUUUGCACAUAAAAAGGAUCAACCAUACCCAAGAGUGGAACCACUGGGUCACAUGGUAAUUUGUGUAGCUUUCUAAAGAACCACCAAACUGGGUUCCACGGUGGUGGCACCAUUUUGCAAGCCUGGAGGAUUUUUAAACUCAGAUUUCUGUUUAUUAUAAAUAACAGAACGAUGAAAAGCUUUGUGCGUGAAGAUUUAUGUAAAUCAAUGAUUACUUCCGAAAAACUUGAUUGAAACGGAAUGGCUGAAUCAAAAGAGUUUUUAAUACUUUGAGGACAGGUCAAUACGUUAAUAUUUGUAAAGCACUGAGAACAGGGACCUGGUGAAUAGUGUUAUUAUUUAGUGCUAAUUAAAGAAAUUAAAUAUUAAAUAAAUCACGCCAGGUUCAACUCUUUCCCACUCCCGGGAGAGGAGCACAC